rnacentral:rRNA from 1 species
UACGUAGGCAGCGAGCGUUGUUCGGAGUUACUGGGCGUAAAGAGUGCGUAGGCGGUUUUCUAAGUUUGGUGUGAAAUCUCCCGGCUUAACUGGGAGGGUGCGCCGAAGACUGGAAGGCUUGAGUAUGGGAGAGGUAAGCGGAAUUCCUGGUGUAGCGGUGAAAUGCGUAGAUAUCAGGAGGAAGACCGGUGGCGAAGGCGGUCUGCUGGGCAGUUUCUGACACUGAGGCGCGACAGCGUGGGGAGCAAACAGG